AAGACACACCACCUCUCGAAUUUGACCAAGAGUGGAUAGAAGUACAGAUUGAAGUCGCUGCACGUUGGGCCUUCCACGGCCUCAGCUGGUGCCACCACGCUGGGUGACUUCAGGUAGGUUUGUGCCACCGGGUCUGUACCUCAGGAAUGACUCGAAUGCUUCCCUCUCCUCUCUUCCAAACAACGGACCAGAGAUCUAGACAGGGGCGAACCUCUGAAAGUACUCCCCAAACAGGUAUUCAUACACAAGGGCUACACAGCUGGAUGUUCAUAUAGCAGCCCUCACUUCUCUCAGUCGUCGUCCCCCACAAUAUGCACACUGUUCCUUACUUGCUAUUGUUGGCACGUCGCCACUCGGCGGAGUAGGGGUCCAAAGCCGCGAGCGGGCAUGUAUAUAAAAGAUGGUCGUCUCACAACACCGGUGCACGUUCUUCUCCACAGGGUUUUCUCUCCCAGCCUAGAGGGUGAUGACUGACAACAUGACACAGCACGACACUGCAGACUUCAAGUAUACACACAGCAAAGAAAAGGACUCGCCCACUACACUCCACACACUCACAGUGAAUUAGGGUCAAAACCACAUAGGACCGGGGAUUAGUUCCUGGACGUUGGGGGCACCGAUGCAGCAGACGGCCAGAGGGAACGUCACAGCCACGACAAGGCACCAGACUCCUUUUUCGCUGGUUCCGGCUCACCCACCAAUCCUAUUACGGUGGGGCCGCUCACAACUCACAAGGGAUAUAUGGAUAUUCCACACUUGCAAAAUAACUGUUGACUCGAUGAAUAUUUCAGUGUACUCACACUUUCAUUAACACUGGAUCUCUCCACUUCUCUUCCAGAUAACCGACAUCCGACACAACUGGCAGCACGAUCUCCUUCCUGCAAUCCUAGCAGAUCUUCAAUGUGUGUUAACUUCACAUCACACAAUGCAUCUGAACACAAUGCUCCAAUAAAGAU
rnacentral:lncRNA from 1 species